GGCGGACGGGUGAGUAAUGCGUAGGAAUUUACCUCAAAGCGGGGGAUAGCCCGGAGAAAUCCGGAUUAAUACCGCAUGUGCUCUACGGAGUAAAGCGGGCCUCUUCUUGAAAGCUCGCACUUUGAGAUAAGCCUACGUCGGAUUAGCUUGUUGGUAGGGUAAAAGCCUACCAAGGCGACGAUCCGUAGCUGGUUUGAGAGAAUGAUCAGCCACACUGGGACUGAGACACGGCCCAG
rnacentral:rRNA from 1 species